rnacentral:rRNA from 1 species
CCAGCCAAGUAGCGUGCAGGACGACGGCCCUAUGGGUUGUAAACUGCUUUUAUAUGGGGAUAAAGUGAGUUACGUGUAGCUUAUUGCAGGUACCAUAUGAAUAAGGACCGGCUAAUUCCGUGCCAGCAGCCGCGGUAAUACGGAAGGUCCAGGCGUUAUCCGGAUUUAUUGGGUUUAAAGGGAGCGUAGGCCGCCCCUUAAGCGUGUUGUGAAAUGCCGCGGCUCAACCGUGGCACUGCAGCGCGAACUGGGGGGCUUGAGUGCACGCAACGCAGGCGGAAUUCGUGGUGUAGCGGUGAAAUGCUUAGAUAUCACGAAGAACUCCGAUUGCGAAGGCAGCUUGCGGGAGUGCGACUGACGCUGAAGCUCGAAGGUGCGGGUAUCGAACAGGAUUAGAUACCCUGGUAGUCCGCACAGUAAACGAUGGAUGCCCGCUGUGUGCCCUAGAGGUACGCGGCCAAG